UUACAGCUCAAAUGAGAUAGUUGCUGCAGCUAUGGUAGCGGCUCAUAUUUCUGAUCUGUUUAGACGUUCCAAGGCUUGCACGCAGGCUCUUUCGAUCUUAAUACGGUGUAAGUGGGAUAAUGAAAUCCACUCCAGAGCGUCUUCACUAUAUAACCUCAUUGAUAUUCAUAGCAAAGUUGUUGCAUCAAUUGUCAACAAGGUGCAAGCUCUUUCGAUCUUAAUACGGUGUAAGUGGGAUAAUGAAAUCCACUCCAGAGCAUCUUCACUAUAUAACCUCAUUGAUAUUCAUAGCAAAGCUGUUGCAUCAAUUGUCGACAAGGCCGAACCGUUGGAAUCACAUCUAAUACCUGAACCUGUUAUUAGGAAAAGAAGCUCAUGCUUGAAUGGGAAAAAACAUAAUAAAUAUAGCAAUUGCAACUGC
rnacentral:lncRNA from 1 species